rnacentral:rRNA from 1 species
GACGAACGCUGGCGGCGUGCUUAACACAUGCAAGUGGAGCGACGAACCAGGGCUUGCCCUGGGGCAAAGCCGCGAACGGGUGAGUAACACGUGGGUAACCUGCCCCGAUGACCGGGACAACCCGAGGAAACUCGGGCUAAUACCGGAUGAGCUCACGCCACAUCAGUGGCAUGAGGAAAGGAAGCUUCGGCCUCCGCAUUGGGAUGGGCCCGCGGCCCAUUAGCUUGUUGGUGGGGAAAGGCCUACCAAGGCUUCGAUGGGUAGCUGGUCUGAGAGGACGAUCAGCCACACUGGGACUGAGACACGGCCCAGACUCCUACGGGAGGCAGCAGUGGGGAAUCUUGCGCAAUGCGCGAAAGCGUGACGCAGCAACGCCGCGUGCGGGAAGACGGCCUGGUCGU